AUGCAUGUCUAAGUGCAAGCCGUCUCGUUACGGUGAAACCGCGAAAGGCUCAUUAAAUCAGUUAUGGUUCCUUAGAUCGUACCCACGUUACAUGGAUAACUGUGGUAAUUCUAGAGCUAAUACAUGCCCAUAGAGCUCCGACCAGCGUUUUCCAGUCGUUCGGCGGUUCGCCCGUCGUCGCUGGACGUUCGGAAGGAGCGCUUUUAUUAGAUCAAAACCGGCCAAGCGCGUCGUUCGCGCUUCGCGCGCGUUCGCGCGUAAGUGGCCCGCGCAAAGACUUGACGACUCUGAAUAACUUCGAGCUGAUCGCACGGUCCUUUGUACCGGCGACGUAUCUUUCAAAUGUCUGCCUUAUCAACUGUCGACGGUAGGUUCUACGCCUACCGUGGUGGUAACGGGUAACGGGGAAUCAGGGUUCGAUUCCGGAGAGGGAGCCUGAGAAACGGCUACCACAUCCAAGGAAGGCAGCAGGCGCGCAAAUUAUCC
rnacentral:rRNA from 1 species